UAUUAUAUCAGUUUUAAGGGCUUUUCCGUUUUAUUAUUCAGCCAAAAACUAAAGGCUCGGUUACAGAAAAGGCACCACUCACUCAAAAUUCUCAGGAAACCGUUUCGAAAUAAUUCUCACGCAUUAAAUUCCAGCGGACAUAAAUCAACAAUGAACAGAGUCUUUGUCUUCAUAUAAAUCAACAAUGAACAGAGUCUUUGUCUUCAUAUAUCUCUGUAUUAAAUUCCUGUUUCUAUUUGUCUAUCUCAGGCCUUAGAAUGGUUGACAAUUCAGGAGAAGAUAUAAAAGGAGGAAAAAUCUGAUGUGUAAAGAUGAUGGUAAGGUAAAUUGCAGUUUUUUUUCUUUUUUGUUUGCUAUGAACUUUUGCUGAAGAGAAAAGACAUGCUGAAUAGGGGUAGAGAAAUAUUAAAAAAAGAGGCUAAAUAGUGUAUUUCUUCCCACAUUUUGCAGCAUAUUUUUAUGUUGAUUAUGAAUCAAAUAAUUUUUCUUGGAUUAUGAGGCGGUGGAAAUUCAGGAAAAAUAGUGUAACAGCAGCAGUUCCUUAACUAAAGAAGAAAACAAUAACGGAAGGGUGAAGAAGUUUAUAAAGGACAACGUAGUGAUAGGAAAAUCUUUGUCAAGAUAUUAUUCUGUCAAUUUUUAAGAAUGGAAAGAAUAUUUUAGGUAUAUAUCAGUGCCUAAUAAUAAUAAUAAUAAUAAUAAUAAUAAUAAUAAUAAUAAUAAUAAUAAUAAUAAUAAUAAUAAUAAUAACUAUUUUACUUUCGGCUGAAUUUGGUUACUACUGUUCAAUUACUAUUCCCUUUGCAUCUCUGCUUCUUCCACUGGUUCUGUUCAUCUCUUUCGGCUUUGCUUCUGCCUAUUGCAAGAAGAUAUUCAUCAAAUCUCAUGUGACAGUGGCUGAUUAUGUUAUACUAAUGUAUUUUCUGAUGUGUUUAUUUCAUUUCUUAAAUGAUGAUUAAUCUGGAGAUUACAUCUUUUUAUUCAUUUAACAUAUCUAACUCAAUUUUGAGAGAGAACUCAUAAGUAUUUUAUAGUGAUUUUCUGCCUGUUAAAUGACGUUUGCAUUACAGUUGGUUUAUUGUAAUAGAAAUUAUGCUUUGUCAAAUGAGUAAUAUAAAAAUAUCAUUCUUGCAAUGAUUUGUAAGACCAAUAUUAUCGAAUAGCUAAAAUGGGCAUCAUAUUCGCUUUUCAAGGGUAUCAACUUAGAAUUUUAAUUUUCGGUCUACCAUCCAAUUUGGAAACAUGAUUGAUCUCUUUUAAUGUGCAUUUACUGACAUUACUCAUGCUGAGUCAUGUUCUUUUUUAGAUCAGUAAUGAGAGAUGGAGGCAUUUUUCCUUGAAAAAACUUAAUUGAAAAUAUCUGAUUUGUUAGGAUGCUUGUCUGUUUUAAUUUUUAGGAGUAAAUUUCUCAUUUUCUGCCUAUGAUCCUUAUUUGAAAAUUAUUGAAUACUAUGUUACUGAGUUCAUUUGUUAAAUAAUUAUUUUGCUAAUUAAAACAGAGUUUGGUUAACCCAAAAUUUGCGACAGCAGUAUUUGUAUGUUUUUGAAGUUUGAAUGCAAUAUCAUUAUCUUGAUUGCUUCACGAAUUACUAUGUCAUUUUUUAUGAAGAACUUGGAUGUGAAUUGAAUUUUCUUUUAUUGAAAGAGAAUGGCUUAACUUGCAAGUUACAGUAUAUGUGUAAAAUAAUAUAAUACUUUGUGAAUGAUUAUGUGAUUGAUUAUUUUUCUGAAAAAUUUGUGAACCGUCGAUGCAGAAUCCAUCUACUAUGGCUCUAUUAUUUGAGUACCUAACUCUAAUAUGACAAUUGUUUCUUUACCUUCCUGUAGACAUUUAUAAUUGUGGGAUAAAAUUUUUAAUGCGUAUGAAUUCUUAUAUGUGCAAGUAUUUACAGUUUUAAAAGUGAUUUUAUGUUUGUAAGAAUUCUCUGUAUCGUAUAUAACUUGUAGAGGAGUUGCAGAUAGCAGUGACUAAAGUGGAACUGUCGAGACCAAUGAAGAUUGAGGUACAUGAUUGAAACCAUAUGAAAUAUUUCGAAGGUGUCCUUUAAUACAUAAAUCAUUAUUCAUCUCUUAAGCAUGAAGUUAUUUUAUUGUAUCAACAGCUUUUGGUAGUUCUCUGCCUCUCUCAUAUUGGAUUCCUGAACUCUGCGAUAUAGUAUAUCUGAGUACUUUUUGGACAAAGCAACAGUCCCUAAAAACUAUCAUCCUCAAAUCUUUUCUAGUAUUCAGUCUCCCUUUAAUAUAUUACUUGGGUAUCAGUCAUGGCCAGCUUGCAGCACCAAAGAGCCUCGGGAUGGAACAAGAAUUGUUCACAUCAUAUGAUGAGGUUUACAGCAGCUUAGAUACAUGGGUUUGCAAGAAAAUCUUGUGAAGGAAACCUAUGCCUGUGGUUUUGAGAAUUCAUUUGCUAUUCAACAUAUGGCUUUUCUUCUCUUUUGCAAAGGUCUUGAAGUUAAUCAACAUGUACAAUCUGGAACUGGUAUAUAAUUUUAUGCUGACUUUAUAGCAUUAAUAUUUUGAUACAAUAUAUGUUUCAUUAGAAAAAGAAAAUAGUAGUCUUAACUAAUUUUGAAACAGGAACAUGAAGCCUCUCACCGUAUGGUAUGUUUGUUUGCUUAUAAUAUAAUUUUUUAAUGUUACGUAGUGGCUAAAUUUGAGGUAAAGUUGCAAAAACGUUCCGAAAUAUAUUUUUUUUAAUUUUAGAAGAGAAUUUUCUUUCAUCAGUCUAUCAAAUGUGUUAAAAGUUUGUUGCACUUGGCAUUCAAUUUCCAUAUGAUGAAGAAAAGAAAAUUACGCACGAGAUUAUUGUAAAAUUUGUUUAGCAGCAUUUAUCUUCCCUUAAAUCUUUUAGUCUCUUAGACUUCAAAGGAAACAUAAUAACUAAAAAAUUUACCAAUAUAACAGUUAUACGCUGCCUCUUAAUUUUAUAGAAUAUUUACACUGUAAUGGAUUUAACAUUCCAUUUUAGUUUAACGAUAAAAUUAAUAAUUAUAACUAUAUUAAUAACCAUAACACUUAUCCGUGUUGUAUGAUAAGCUUUUCACUAUAAAAUGAGCAUUUAACUUCACCUCUUAGAUUGAAAGAGGUGUUCCUCGAGAACCAUGUACUUUUAAAACUAAAUAAGUAAUGAAUGCUUUAUUUAUUUUAAUUAGAUUUUCUGCUAGAUUUUUUUCAUAAGUUUUUUUUAUGUUACAUCUUGCAUUAUAUAAUAUGUUUUAUUUUUGGCAGUAUAAGUAAUUUAUUUCCUUUGAAUCAACUAAUAUAAAACAAAGAUGUUUGACAGCGCGAAGCGCGGCCAAUUAACUAGUAUAGUUAUAUAACGAUGCCUCCUUAUCUCUAAUACCAUUUAAGUUGGGAGUUGUAAGUUAUGUGAAUUCAUAACUUGCCGUAAGUGGGAACUAUAUUUCUGUCUAUUCUUCUAUUAGAAUGAAACACAAUCAUAAUUCCAAAUCCCUGGCAGCAGUCUAUUCAGUAACUAUGUUUCUUUCUUCUGCAGGUUUCACCGAAUCACAUCAGAAAGUAAGCUGCAACUCUAGAAUUAAGGUAACUUUACUGUAAAUUGCUUUAGUAGUUUGUCUUAGCCAAAAAACUAAAGAGCGAAAACAAUUCAAAAGCCUAUAUCAUUGUUUACUGAACAAUCACUUUCAUGAAAAUUAAUUUACUUUGUCUAUUAUAUGCUUGAUAGGCAAGUCGAGAGGCAAAUAAAACCACUUCAACAGAUUGCUGGAAACAAAGGACAAGUGUAAAUUAGUUUUAAAAACCAACUUCUCACUGGGGCAAGCAAGUGACAACAUUUUAACUUUUCUUGACGAUUGAUUAAGGCACUUUGUUUGAUAGAUUACCCUUAUUUGACCGAGAAGAUUUCAUCUUCU
rnacentral:lncRNA from 1 species